AUGACUGUGACGCUCCAGGAUAUGGCUAUGAUCACCGGUCUUCCUAUCGAUGGGAAUCCUCUAUGUAUGAACACCGAUUCUGAUGGGUGGCGCGUGCAGAUGCAUGCCCUUAUCAGUAUGGUUCCUCGGGAGCCUCGGGAACCAGAAGCAGAAGAUAAGAAGAAGGAAAGAGUCGCAACCAUUGCUCCUUUCACGUGGAUUACAUCGCACUUUGGAACUUUCCCUGAGGAAGGUAAUGAGGACACGGUCAAGACAUAUGCUCGUGUCUACAUGUGGUACGUGAUAUCCAGGACUAUGUUUGCUGAUGGCACAGGCAAGAAUGCUCCAUGGACGUGGCUGAAGGCGUUGACCGUCUUUGAUAGCAAAUGGAGUUGGGGUUCGGCGACACUGGCUUACUUAUAUAGACAGGUAUGA
rnacentral:rRNA from 1 species